AGCAAGAGCCCGGAGAUGGAUUCUGAGACAUGAAUCCAGGCCCUACGGGGCGCAGCAGGCGCGAAAACUUUACAAUGCGGGAAACCGUGAUAAGGGGACACCGAGUGCCAGCGUCAUACGCUGGCUGUCCGGGUGUGUAAAAUACACCUGUUAGCAAGGGCCGGGCAAGACCGGUGCCAGCCGCCGCGGUAACACCGGCGGCCCGAGUGGUGAUCGUGAUUAUUGGGUCUAAAGGGUCCGUAGCCGGUUUGGUCAGUCCUCCGGGAAAUCUGAUAGCUCAACUAUUAGGCUUUCGGGGGAUACUGCCAGACUUGGAACCGGGAGAGGUAAGAGGUACUACAGGGGUAGGAGUGAAAUCUUGUAAUCCCUGUGGGACCACCUGUGGCGAAGGCGUCUUACCAGAACGGGUUCGACGGUGAGGGACGAAAGCUGGG
rnacentral:rRNA from 1 species